GCAUUAAUGGGGUAGUGGUAACCUGGGUCGUUGCCAUCGGAAGGAGUUUAUCUGCUUCGACCCGCCGGGGGUUCGAUUCCCCCUUAAUGCA